AUGAUGUAAUGGCAGGAAGGUGUGUUUUUCUCUUUGCUGGUUCGAGUUUGCUGCUGGCGGCCACCAUGAACUGCAGCCUAGCCAUGCCUGCCUGUCUUGGAGACAACUGAGUGUGGACUGAAACCUCCAAAAACUCUUACAGCUUACUUCAAGGUCUUUGUAUGGAUAAAGUGGCUCAGUCAAGGACAUCUUUAACUUUGUUUGCUCUGCUUGAAUCCCCUCACCUCAUCCCCAGGAUGUUCCUACUUUAUGGUGAAGAAGGAAGUGAUCACUGCUUGACAUCUACAUCUGACACCUGUUCGGGUUCCAGUUCCUGUUCUAGUCAGAGUAGUCAGCUGCGACUGCUGUUCCAGUUAGAAUUGCCCCCAGGAUUGGGGGUGGCAAUGUAUUCACUUCUGUGUGCCUGUGUGUGAAUGUGUGUAUAUAUGUGUACAAAAUAAAAUACGUGAAUCCAAUGUCCCAGGAACUCAGCUAGGAAUGAAAAAAGUAGUUUAAACAAUCUGGAAAAAAAGUAAUUGAAAAAAUUAUUUAUACUAUAACGAGUAAAGACAUGAAAAAGUUGCUUAGCUUUAACACACCAAAAUACACAGGAAAGGUGAUGCAGAUAGAAUAAUAAAAAAGAGGAAAAAGCCUCAGAAUACUUAAAAAGCCAGCUGGCCUGUGGGUAAGCUAUAAUGAAGACACCGGCUAAAAGAUUUGAGCCCAACUGUGUGUGUCAAGAUUAAAGGGACAAAACAGAAACUGUCUUUUUCAUUUCAAAGUGAGCAAGGCAACAAGACAGAGCCCAAACUCUCCUCUUGGUUUGGGGAGAUCCAAGACCAACUCUUGCUUGACAUUUUACAGGAAAAAUCAAAUUGAAAAUGUUAACUAAUUGAUAAAUAUGUUUUGGUUUUCAGCUUGAGUUGAUGUGCAUAAAGCACUUUUUAUGCAUUACAAAAUUUUGAUUACAGGGUUAACUUGCUGGUUUUUUAAAACUCUGUUGUUUUAAAAUAAAAACACUGACUCCAGGUUACUCAGAGGUCUGUUGACAGUCACUUUACUAUUUGAGGACAAAAAGGGACACUUUAAAAUUCAAGUGGCUACAGUCUAAUUUGUUGUAAAAGAUAAUAGUAAUUGGGAGAGAAGCAAUAUUUAAAAACCGAUAAAAUAUAAGAUAUAUACUUUUGGUAUGAGAGGGUUCUUUCUAUAUGAUGAAAGUCUUGUCCUGCAAAACAGAUAAAAAGAGAGACAGUGAUAAGACUAGAAAGCUUAUAUACAUCAAGGAAAGCUUCUGGGAGUAGUUUAUUCAAAGAAUAUAUAUGUAUGGCCACUUACAACCUCACACUUGCCAGGCUUAUGCUGCUGAGCUAAAUCCCUAGCUCCUUCUAAAAACCCCAUGAGGGAAAUGGUCAAAUCAACAUGAGACUACCAGUCAAAUGAUACCUAUUAAAAUUUAUGUGAUGUACGUGUUGUGUGUUACCCUACUCAAUGCUAAUAUGGACAUAUAAGUGUGUUACAAAAAUAAUGUCAUAAUUGUCAUGCAGAAAUAAAAAUU